rnacentral:rRNA from 1 species
CCUCGGGGGGCUGCAGUGGGGAAUAUUGGACAAUGGGCGAAAGCCUGAUCCAGCCAUGCCGCGUGUGUGAAGAAGGCCUUCGGGUUGUAAAGCACUUUCAGUGGGGAAGAAAGCCUUGGGGCUAAUACCCUCGAGGAAGGACAUCACCCACAGAAGAAGCACCGGCUAACUCCGUGCCAGCAGCCGCGGUAAUACGGAGGGUGCGAGCGUUAAUCGGAAUUACUGGGCGUAAAGCGCGCGUAGGCGGUCUGAUAAGCCGGUUGUGAAAGCCCCGGGCUCAACCUGGGAACGGCAUCCGGAACUGUCAGGCUAGAGUGCAGGAGAGGAAGGUAGAAUUCCCGGUGUAGCGGUGAAAUGCGUAGAGAUCGGGAGGAAUACCAGUGGCGAAGGCGGCCUUCUGGACUGACACUGACGCUGAGGUGCGAAAGCGUGGGUAGCAAACAGGAUUAGAUACCCGAGUAGUC